rnacentral:rRNA from 1 species
UACGGAGGGUGCGGAGCGUUGAUUCGAAUCAGCUAGGGCGUAAGGCGUGUAGGCGGUCCGCUAAGUCUGAUGUGAAAGCCCGGGGCUCACCCCCGGAAGUGCAUUGGAAACUGGCGGACUCGAGUCCCGGAGAGGAGGGUGGAAUUCCUGGUGUAGCGGUGAAAUGCGUAGAUAUCAGGAGGAACACCGGUGGCGAAGGCGGCCCUCUGGACGGUGACUGACGCUGGAGACGCGAAAGCGUGGGGAGCAAACAGG